AUUUAUAUUUAGAGUAUCUAUUUGUGGCGAUAUUUAUGGGACAGGCGGCGGCCCCCCUCCCGCCCAUCCUUCCUCCCUCCCCUCUUUCCCUUCCUCCCUCGCCACCGCCUUUCAGCCCCGCGGCUCGGCUCGGCACGGCUCGGCACGGCACAGCUUGGCACGGCUCGGCACGGCUCGGUAUGGCACGGCAAGGCACGGCUCGGCAAGGCACGGCACGGCUCGGCUCAGCUUGGCACGGCUCGGCAAGGCACGGCUCGGCACGGUUCCCUCCGCGGGCCGGGGCGCAGCGAGGGGAGCGCCCCCCCCCACUCCCGGCUCUCCCUGCCCCGCCGGGCCCGGGGCUCGUCUGUCGGCCCGGGGAGGGGGGUCAGUGUGUCUGUCCGUCUGUCUGUCUGUCCGUCUGUCUGUUCGGCUGCUCUGACACCGGGAGGAAAGGCAGAGCGGACUGGGCGAGCUUUGGCCGGGCUGUCUGGGAUCGGCUCCGGCCAAUGCCAAGCGAGGGAGCAGGAUUUCGGGGAGAGGAAGAUGGAGCUGCCAGACUUCAGUGACUCUUAAGCA
rnacentral:lncRNA from 1 species